GAUGAACGCUGGCGGCGUGCCUAAUACAUGCAAGUCGAGCGAACAGACGAGGAGCUUGCUCCUCUGACGUUAGCGGCGGACGGGUGAGUAACACGUGGAUAACCUACCUAUAAGACUGGGAUAACUUCGGGAAACCGGAGCUAAUACCGGAUAAUAUAUUGAACCGCAUGGUUCAAUAGUGAAAGACGGUUUUGCUGUCACUUAUAGAUGGAUCCGCGCCGCAUUAGCUAGUUGGUAAGGUAACGGCUUACCAAGGCAACGAUGCGUAGCCGACCUGAGAGGGUGAUCGACCACACUGGAACUGAGACACGGUACAGACUCCUACGGGAGGCAGCAGUAGGGAAUCUGCCGCAAUGGGCGAAAGCCUGACGGAGCAACGCCGCGUGAGUGAUGAAGGUCUUCGGAUCUUAAAACUCUGUUAUUAGGGAAGAACAAAUGUGUAAGUAACUAUGCACGUCUUGACGGUACCUAAUCAGAAAGCCACGGCUAACUACGUG
rnacentral:rRNA from 1 species